rnacentral:rRNA from 1 species
AUUGAACGCUGGCGGCAUGCUUUACACAUGCAAGUCGAACGGCAGCGCGGGCUUCGGCCUCUCUGCGAGUGGCGAAGUGGUGGGUAAUACAUCGGAACGUGCCCAGUUGUGGUGGCGCGCUCGGCGACGGCGGGAUUAAUACCGUAUAAGACCAGAGGAUAAAAGGGGGGAAUCAUGGGACCUUCGGAUCUUGCGCGGUCGAAUGAGCGGAUGUCGGAUUAGCUAGUUGGUGGGGUAAAGGCCCACCAAGGCGACGAUCUGUAGCUGGUCUGAGAGGACGACCAGCCACACUGGGACUGAGACACGGCCCAGACUCCUACGGGAGGCAGCAGUGGGGAAUUUUGGACAAUGGGCGAAAGCCUGAUCCAGCAAUGCCGCGUGUGUGAUGAAGGCCUUCGGGUUGUAAAGCACUUUUGGCGGGAACGAAAAGGACUGUGCUAAUACCACGGUUCGAUGACGGUACCCGCAGAAUAAGCACCGGCUAACUACGUG